rnacentral:lncRNA from 1 species
CACUCGCUAAUUUGGAAGAUUUAUACAAGAAAUUGGUUGAAAAACACGACGAAUACAUUCAGUUGGUGGAUGGCGAUGAAGAAUUUGCAGCUGAGGAAGAAUGGAUUGAAGAUUGUCAACAGAGGUUUAUGCAGAUAAGGAUCAGAACAAAGGAUUAUUUAAAGGUCAAGUCACAAGGUCAACCCAUGAAGGUCAACCCCCAUCCCAUGAAGGUCAACCCCCAUCCCACCAAGGUCAACCCCCAUCCCACCAAGGUCAACCCCCAACCCACCAAGGUCAACCCCCAUCCCACCAAGGUCAACCCCCAUCCCACCAAGGUCAACC